CCCAGACUCCUACGGGAGGCAGCAGUGAGGAAUAUUGGUCAAUGGUCGGGAGACUGAACCAGCCAAGCCGCGUGAGGGAUGAAGGUACAGAGUAUCGUAAACCUCUUUUGUCAGGGAACAAAGGCGGGGACGUGUCCCCGGAUGAGUGUACCUGAAGAAAAAGCAUCGGCUAACUCCGUGCCAGCAGCCGCGGUAAUACGGAGGAUGCGAGCGUUAUCGGGAUUUUUUGGGUUUAAAGGGGGCGCAGGGGGCGCUGGUUAGGUCGGGGGACACCCCCGGUGCCCCCCCCCCGGCCCGCCGUUGAAACUGGCAGUCUCGAGUUGGAGAGAAGUAUGCGGAAUGCGCGGUGUAGCGGUGAAAUGCAUAGAUAUCACGCAGAACUCCGAUUGCGAAGGCAGCAUACCGGCGCCCAACUGACGCUGAAGCACGAAAGCGUGGGUAUCGAACAGGAUUAGAUACCCCCGUA
rnacentral:rRNA from 1 species